GACGAACGCUGGCGGCGUGCUUAACACAUGCAAGUCGAACGGAAAGGCCCUGCUUUUGUGGGGUGCUCGAGUGGCGAACGGGUGAGUAACACGUGAGUAACCUGCCCUUGACUUUGGGAUAACUUCAGGAAACUGGGGCUAAUACCGGAUAGGAGCUCCUGCUGCAUGGUGGGGGUUGGAAAGUUUCGGCGGUUGGGGAUGGACUCGCGGCUUAUCAGCUUGUUGGUGGGGUAGUGGCUUACCAAGGCUUUGACGGGUAGCCGGCCUGAGAGGGUGACCGGCCACAUUGGGACUGAGAUACGGCCCAGACUCCUACGGGAGGCAGCAGUGGGGAAUAUUGCACAAUGGGCGGAAGCCUGAUGCAGCAACGCCGCGUGCGGGAUGACGGCCUUCGGGUUGUAAACCGCUUUCGCCUGUGACGAAGCGUGAGUGACGGUAAUGGGUAAAGAAGCACCGGCUAACUACGUGCCAGCAGCCGCGGUGAUACGUAGGGUGCGAGCGUUGUCCGGAUUUAUUGGGCGUAAAGGGCUCGUAGGUGGUUGAUCGCGUCGGAAGUGUAAUCUUGGGGCUUAACCCUGAGCGUGCUUUCGAUACGGGUUGACUUGAGGAAGGUAGGGGAGAAUGGAAUUCCUGGUGGAGCGGUGGAAUGCGCAGAUAUCAGGAGGAACACCAGUGGCGAAGGCGGUUCUCUGGGCCUUUCCUGACGCUGAGGAGCGAAAGCGUGGGGAGCGAACAGGCUUAGAUACCCUGGUAGUCCACGCUGUAAACGGUGGGUACUAGGUGUGGGGUCCAUUCCACGGGUUCCGUGCCGUAGCUAACGCUUUAAGUACCCCGCCUGGGGAGUACGGCCGCAAGGCUGAAACUCAAAGGAAUUGACGGGGCCCCGCACAAGCGGCGGAGCAUGCGGAUUAAUUCGAUGCAACGCGUAGAACCUUACCUGGGUUUGACAUGGAUCGGGAGUGCUCAGAGAUGGGUGUGCCUCUUUUGGGGUCGGUUCACAGGUGGUGCAUGCCUGUCGUCAGCUCGUGUCGUGAGAUGUUGGGUUAAGUCCCGCAACGAGCGCAACCCUUGUUCACUGUUGCCAGCAAGUUAUGGUGGGGACUCAGUGGAGACCGCCGGGGUCAACUCGGAGGAAGGUGGGGAUGACGUCAAGUCAUCAUGCCCCUUAUGUCCAGGGCUUCACGCAUGCUACAAUGGCUGGUACAGAGAGUGGCGAGCCUGUGAGGGUGAGCGAAUCUCGGAAAGCCGGUCUCAGUUCGGAUUGGGGUCUGCAACUCGACCUCAUGAAGUCGGAGUCGCUAGUAAUCGCAGAUCAGCAACGCUGCGGUGAAUACGUUCCCGGG
rnacentral:rRNA from 1 species